AGUGAACGCUGGCGGUAGGCCUAACACAUGCAAGUCGAACGGCAGCACAGGACAGCUUGCUCUCUGGGUGGCGAGUGGCGGACGGGUGAGUAAUACAUCGGAAUCUACCUUUUCGUGGGGGAUAACGUCGGGAAACUUACGCUAAUACCGCAUACGACCUCCGGGUGAAAGUGGGGGACCGCAAGGCCUCACGCCAUUAGAUGAGCCGAGGUGGGAUUAGCUAGUUGGCGGGGUAAUGGCCCACCAAGGCGACGAUCGGUAGCUGGUCUGAGAGGAUGAUCAGCCACACUGGAACUGAGACACGGUCCAGACUCCUACGGGAGGCAGCAGUGGGGAAUAUUGGACAAUGGGCGCAAGCCUGAUCCAGCCAUACCGCGUGGGUGAAGAAGGCCUUCGGGUUGUAAAGCCCUUUUGUUGGGAAAGAAAUCCUGUCGAUUAAUACUCGGUCGCGAUGACGGUACCCAAAGAAGAAGCACCGGCUAACUUCGUG
rnacentral:rRNA from 1 species